UUGAAAAUGAACCCCUUUUAGGACUUAAGUUGAUGAAUUUCACUCCAUUAAACUGCACACAUAUUCAUAAUUAUUAUUAAGUAGGAAUAAAUCUUAGCCAUAGAAUAAAGAUCCAUAUAGAAGGGCCACUUACGUCGGAAGCUUUGAAGUUUCUGUCCUCGCGCAUGUCGCAUUACGCAUGUUGGCCGCCAUUUUCCUAGCCAGUCAAUGACAUUUUCUG